UAUAAUAAGCAAUCACCUUUUUUUUUUUCUUUCUGGUUGCUUCAAAAGUAAUUCCUUCAUUGAUGGCAUUAUGCAGACUUAUUAAGAAGAGUCUAGAAGUAGAUUUUUAUUUAUGUCUUCUGUUGGUGUUUUUGUGAAUCCUGUUCUGAUUUUCUAAGUCAUCAUCAAUUCUUAAAAUAUGAUCCCUUCCAAUAUUACCUCUCUCAUUACUACUAUUCUCUCCUUUUGGAAUUCUGAUUGAAGGCAUGUUAGUUUUUCAAAAAUACUUUCCUCCAUAGUUCUUUGUCUCUCCUUCACAUAUUUUAUGUCUCUACCUUUCUAUGUUGCAUUCUCUAGUUUCUUUAGAUAUGUAUUUCACUUACGUAUUUCUUCCACUGUGUACAUGCUUUCAUUUAAACUCUAUGUUAAGGUUUUAACUACAGUGUUGACAUUCAUCAUUUUUAGAAAAGUUAUUUUUCAAAUAUUCCUUGUUAUAUUUUUACACUCUUUUGUUUCUUAUUCAUAUUUUAAAUUCCAUCUGAUAUUUAUUUCUUUAAACAUUUCAAGCAUAGUUGCCCUAUAUUCUGGAUCUGAUAAUUACACUAUUUGGAAUCCCAGGGGUCUAUUUUCAUGAUUUCUUUUUCUAUUCAUGGUAAGUUGUUUUCUUAUGAAUUUUUAAGUUUUUAGUUAAUACAUAUCUGUUUGAAUUUAAUCCACAGAAUUCUGUUCAGGUCUAAGAAGUUACAGACAAACUCUUUCAUCAAGAAUGUGCACUUCUUUCUGCCUGGCAACUGGAGGUGUCCAUAUGAAGUUGCUUUUUGGCAUGGUUUUCUAGACCAAACAGCAUAUGCAAGGACUCUCCCAGGUACUGUGGGGGCUUUAAAGAAAAACAUGGAGAACUUGUCCUUGAAGAAUGUAUCAGAAGAAUCAUAUGGAACUGUAAUGCAAGGUAGAAAUUCAAGUACCAUAAAAGGAGUCCAGGUGAGUGGGAACAAGGGGACAUGCCAUUUGAGGAAGGGAGUAUACAGAAUUAGAAAAACUGUCACUACUUCUUAGUACACUCUUUCUUAGAACAAUGAAACCUCUGCCCACAACAUUGCUGUCUUUUCAUGACUGGUUCCUCCCUCCACUCCUUGCCUAGUUAGAGCCAUUUCUGCAGUUGGAUCCUGGCUCCAUCAUCACUUUCAAAUGGAAGCCUUCUGUGACAUCCUGUAAAGGUUCAAGUUCAAGUUUUUGUUGUACACCCCUAACACUAUGUGCUUCUCACUCACAGACUCUAACAGAGUUGCAAUUUUAGAUGCAUUUAGCAUGCUUAGUUUUGGUUUCUCCUCUAUACUGUGCAUCCUAAGAAGUCAAUGAUAAUAUCUGAUUUUUGCUCAUCAUUGAAUCUCUAGCACCUGGAAUUGUGCUUGGAAAAAUUUGAUUCUCAAUACAUAUUUUUUGAGUGAUUGAAUGAAUCCCUUAUAUUUUAUGUCAUUUACUGAUUAUGUAGGCCUUUUGGUUAUGGCUCUAUCUAGUCCAUUGCUUAACAUAUUGAUUAGUCAAACAUAUAGCCUAUUGGUAGACAAAAGACACCUUCACUGGCCACAUUUCUGUUAGCUGUGGCAACCGAGUGACCCAUGUUCAGGCGCCUUUGGAGGCUAUAAGAUUUAUGAGGUUGGAAUAGUCUAGGGCUUUCUCUCCUCCCUGGCCUGCACUAACCCACAGUUCUUAGCCUCUGUGUCAGCUGAACUUAAAGAUUAAUAAAAGCCACAAAAGAUAAUAUAAUAUAUUUUAGAGUUGAACUUAGAGAUUUAAAAAACCACUAGCUUGUUCUGGACUACACAAGGACCUCUUAGAAGUGCUCAGGAAAUAAAAUAGCUUCUGGAUUCUACCAUAAGAACAUUAUAUAAGAUUUUAUAUAUUUAUACAUUCCUUGGCUGCAGUUAUAGAUACUUGUGAGACAAAAUGGAAAUUAAAAAUAAACAAAAAUAGAUCAAAAUUUAGACACAGGGAAUAAAACUAUAAAAGUAAGUUGUGAGAUGGUGGACCAGAGAUGACAUGGACUGGGUUAAGUUUUAGUUUCUCUGGAUAGGUAUAUAAAAGGAGAACAAUGUUGUUGUGGGGAGAAGAGAAAGUUUUUCCUAGACUUGUGAGGCCCCUUAGUAAGGAUAUGCAGAAUGAGAGUCUGCAAGGCUGGCCAGAGGGCAUAAUCUGGCCAUCAAGAGGAUAGUAUCCAAUCUGUGGCAGAAUUCAGAGGUCUCCACUGAAUGUAAGGCGAAACAGGAGAGCAAGUGGGGGGCUGUAACCAUUGAAGCGAUAUGUUAAAAAUGGCAGCCAGGAGAGCAAUUCUAGAAGUAUUAGGCUGAGCUUUUGUCUCCAGGAUAAGGGUCUUCCUGAUUCUCCUGGAUCAUCCACAAAGCCUUCUAUUGACUUCCCACUGCUGCCGAGGCCAUUGAAGACUGUCUGGGGAAGGAGACUGAAUGAGAGGCAGUUAGACAAACACUGAGCUCUCCCUCCUGAUGGGGCUGACUGUGCCAGGCUCUCAGAGGACAUAACGUGCUUGUUAAGGUUUGGUGAAUAGCACCAGUCUCCACGGAGGACGAUUUGGGUUCCCAUAGAGAAGUCAUCAACACAGGGUAAGAAUUCAGCCAAUUAUGCCUCACCUCAUCAGUCCUAUUUAGAUGGUAACCCCAUGGGGCAUGGACCAUGUCUUUCCCUGUGUAUUGUACAGUGUUGAGGAAACAUUUGGCACUCAAUAAAUACCAAUCAAGAGCUUGUUUCUUGUCCCCCUCAGCCUCCCACUGAGCUGAUCUGAGGAAGGAAUUCCCUUUGAAGUCCCUUGUCUCCAUGCUUUUUGAUAAACAACACAGAGGCACAGAGAAAGAUGAAGCAUCUAUACAGUCCUGGGACUGUAUCCACUGUUUUUGGUAUCCACAGAUGACAAAUCUUAUCUCUGUAGUGAUAUGGCUGGGGAGUGAGGACAUGUUUAGUGGGACCAUGCAGUAAAAAAAGCCCAUCUUCCAUAAACAUUGUCUUGCUUCUCGUUUCUCACAGAUGAAUGAUUUGUGCUUUCUAGCAUCUAUUAACACCACUGUUAAGCUGUCUUGCUGAGCUGAGAGAGCCUUUUUCCAGAAAGCCAAAGCAACACCUGCUAAAUUUCGUUGGAUUCCUGACAGGACGCUCACUGCUGUUUAAAAACUAUUCCUACCCUGGCUGGUUGUGACUGGCUGAGACCGAAUAUUGCAAAGGUAAAUUGAACUGAAUUUCCAGACAAGUGAAGGUGCUUUGAUCAACUAAGUAAAUGUAUGUGGGUAAUCUUUGAAAAACAAAUGGCAUGCCUACAGUGAUGUUUUCAUUAUUACCAUUUAUUAUGAUUAUUAUUGUUGCUGACUUGUCUUUUCUAAAACCUUCACAGAAGUGUUUUCUAAGAAACUUAAGAAAUGCAUUUCUUUUAAAUCUAACAUAGCAGACCAACUGCGUCUCAACCAAAAUGAGUUUUUUCCAUUCUCAAAGUACAUACUGAGUUAACACUUUAUUAAAGAGAAAAAGGAAUCAUCCAAACUUCUCUGAAAAUCCCAGAUUUUCUCAUUCUCAAUAUUUUCCAGAGAUUGCCAGACUUUCUAGCUUAAACAAAUGAAAAUUAUCCCAAGGCAGAGUUAUCUGAAGCAUUUAUAACCCUGCCUUUCUAUUGGCAAAGCAACACAACACAUAAAAAAGAAUCCCUCUUAGCAUAAAACAAAGCGAUAUAUUGUGUGGUCUUCAGGGUAAAAUAUGAAACAAAUACACAGAAGAGCUACCUUCCUCCAUUUAAAACAACAACAGCAAAACCAGGUUAUUCUUGUCUUCCCCCCCCCCUUUCUUAUGAGGUUAUUCUUGUCCUCCUCCCCUCCCCACCCCCAUCCUUGUGAUGGACAAUAGGGCUUUUAAAUCCCUCUCCAGCCUCUGAGCAGUGUUUAGACACAAAGUAUUUUCAUAUAUCAUGAGAUCUCUGUCUUCCUGCCUAAUCCUACUGUAUCAUAAUGCCUCAUAGCACAAUGGAGAUGCUUGCAUGCCUAAUUUCCAUAAAUUACACAGCCCGACGUUUUCAUAAAGACAAAUUCCAAUUGUAAACUAUUAAACCUAAUUCAGCAUCCUUUGAUGUCUCUGAGAAAGACUGGGGCAAGUUUAAGCAUUCCCACAUGGGAGCUUGUCCCCUGGAGUAGGUGAACGGAAAGGAGGGAGGUGAUAUUUUGCCCUUCUUAUCUCUGCAUUAACUUGGGUGUGUUCUGAGAUUGAAGUUAGUGCCUUUACAGAAACACUUAAAAGAUAAAUCCUAAACGCUGGGGACAAACUAACGUAGGCCACUUCUCCCAAAAGGUAAGCUCUAGAUCUGAAUCAAUAGUCUUACUCUUUAGAUUAUUUGAUGUUAAUUUUUCUUCUUUAUUUCCAAACUCUGUCCUUCCAAGCUCCUUUGUAACUGGGUCCUGAGAUCAAAGCAAACACCAGCCAGGACUUUCUUUUCAGGUACCAUCAGUUUUCAUCAUUUAGUUGUGGAAUUUCCUCGACAGAUCUUGUUCUCAGCAUCCUGUUGACAUUAUUUAACAUAGAGGUUAUAAAGAAUUCUGUGAACCUUCUCCCUUCCUGUUUAGUUUCACUCCUCAAUGGAGCCUAGUGCUCAGAAGCGGCUCUUUUAAAUCUGAACGGCCGGAUCACCUCCCCCAAAGCAGGAAAGGUGUGAAAAGCAAACAGAGGAAAGCAAAUACAGUGGCUUUCAACAGUUCCUCAGUGCUUGCUUUGGUGUGAGAGGUGAUUCAGGGAGUGAGAAAUUCGGAGCUUGAGGCAGGAUGGAGACCAUGGAUACAUUUCUAGGUCCUGCUGAGUUAGUCCUUCACAGGGCGGCUUUGUUAUGAGAUGUGAAGUGUUAUGAAUUCCUGGACCCCCACACUGCACACUGGUGUGCAGUAUGCAAAUGUAAGUGCUUUUAAACACCAGAGAGGGGUCACCAACUAGAACUAGUGAGCUGGAAGCUUCCGUAGUCCUGUAAUUACUCCUGAUGGAAUAAUCCACCCGUACCUCUGGGAAGAGGUUCUUUUCCCCUAACUAUGUUGUAAACGCUGGCUGGACACCAUGAGGACCAGGCCAGCAAUCUCCAUGUGGGUAAUCUCAGGUCCAAAUGAGUUGAAAUGUCAUAACAGAGAAGUAGUGCCAGAAGGUCCUUUAACAGCAACUUGAACUUCGUAAGCACAAUACAAAGCAGCUGUUGAUGGCCCCAGGCUGGUGGAAUGUGAUGGGUGUGAGCCAGAGGCCUUGGUGGGCAGAUGGGUGUGGGUCCCCUGCCAGGGUGGCACUUCGAGGCAGGCAGCAAGAGACCAGGCAGAAGAAGGAAUCCUGUCCUCACAUGGCUACCAGUGAAGGGACACGAUGUCAAAGUAGGUGGGAGACCUUCUCCACUCCUGGUGCGCCAUGAAGGUUUCCGUAAAUUCAUUUUUGACGAGCAAGCAGCAGAAAUGCAGGCAUCUGAACCACGAGAGGACGGGGGGUGAAUCAGCACCCAGCAUGGAUUUGGGGCUUAGACAAAUUGUAAUUUCAUCAAUUCUGUUUGCCAUUUCUUUGUAAAUUCAUUUUGUUUUUAAAAUUAUAUCUGAUGCGACAUUUCUGUGAUAUUAUCAACGUCAAGUCCCUACAAUAAAACAGAAACUUCAGUGUGGUUUUAUUCUGCUACUUCCUACCCAAACCCCAAUUUUUGUUUUUGUAAUCUGAGACUCACGUUCCAGGCUUGUAAUAAAUGUGUAUUUUCUUAUGUGAUUAUAAGGUUAUGAACAUUGUAAGUAUAUACAUAUUUAUAUAUUAUUUUAAUUUACAUUAUAAUACUUUGUGAGAAGUAUUUUCUCAUUUGCUUUAAGUGUAUAAACUUUAACAAUAACUGUUCAGGCUUACGCUACAUGUAAUUUUAUUUCUCAUUACCAUUUGUUUGUAAUACUAGGAUUCCCUCCUAUCUUUGUGUCUAGGCUUUCAUUCUUUUCUCAGCCAACUGUCACAAAACGUUUAAUGUGCUUUUCACACAGGAUAUGAGAGCAAAGUGUAGUCUCUAAAUUCACAUAUGAGAUUGUUGUUCUGUUUUUCUUAUACCAGAACAGCAAGAUGGGUUGUUGUAGAAUUUUUGGUCAAAAGUUUGUCGACUGAAAACACAGAAAUUUCAUUUAUUCAACCUAUUGAGCACCUACUAUAUGCCAGGGUCUCCUAGGUGCUACAGACAAGUGAAGAAGAUUACAGAGUCUUUGACAUUUUUGAACUUGCAUUUAUUGGAGGUUGAAAGACAGUUUUUCCUUCCUUUCUCCCUCCAUGCCUUCUUUCUCUUCCUUCUUAUUUUGAGUACAUGCAAACAAGUGUCUUUCUCCUUUAUUUUUGAAUUUGAAAAAUGUAAUUGAGCACAUUACUGUGACUGUGUAAAAUGAGGAGUAUAACAUGAAACUGUGUCUCUUUUCACUAAUUUUUUUUCUGGUCCGUGGGUGACCUUUCAAAUUAUAAAUUGUUAUGUUAAACACCUGUUAAGCACACUUCCAUCUUCAUGUUUUAUUUUAAUCUUUGCUGUUACUGUUUUUGUCACUUUUUCUUUUUAUUCUGGCAUCUAGGAUCAUUUGUUAGGCUAGCUCUCUCCUUCACUAAUUUGUUUUUUGAUUGUAUUCAGUGACAAUCUACUUUGCAGUUGUUAAUUCAGCAAUCAUGUGUUUAAUCCCCGAGUAUUGUUUCCUGAUCUGAAAUCGUGCUUUCUUCAGGACAGCCUGUACUAGUUGUUUUGUUGUGUACGUCUUCUCUAACUUGUUAAGAACAAAAUUCAGGUGUUUUCAAAAAUAUCAUUUCUGGCAGCAAACCUGUUCCACUGACGUGUGUUUGCAUCUUCCACAGACUGUUCUCUUUCUUUUGAACCAUGGUAUCUUUUCUAUAUCUGAACGUUUCUUUUUGCUCAUCUUUUCAAAGAGAUGGCCCUGUUGGCUUUGUGUAGACUGUAUAGGUUGAAAUGAAUCCUGUCAGUGAGGUUUUCUGUCUGAUUCUUACAGAUCCAAAUGAAGGGAUAGAGAAAAAGGUUUCACUGAUUCUACCUCCUCUUAGCCAGCAAUGAGGAAUAGGUGGAUGGUGGGGAUUAAAAAGGGAGCUAAUGCCACAACUUUUAGUGGGCGAAGUAAUUCCUUGUCAUUUUGUCCAAACUCUCAGGGGCCCUCCUAGAUAGUUAUCUUUCCCUGACAGCCACAGAUGACUCUCUGAUCUCUGUGACCUCUGGCAUCAGAAGUGCCAGCACCUUUACUGGGGGCCCUUGAGAGUUAUGCAAAUCCAUCCUACCUUCUCUACUAGACCUCUUCCUUUUUUUUUUUUUCCUCCAGAAAACAAUGCUAUUCCUUCAUACAAAAGGAUUUUCUGUCCGCUUUUACAGUAAUCUGAUUUCGUUCAAACUAUACUUUGGCACAGUCUAUCAGCUCUCCCCCCACUAACUUCCUUCCUCUUUUUCUUCUGUAGGAUUAGAUGUUUUGGCUGGUUACAUGGCUGACGAGCUAAAGACAGUCUAAGCAGCCUCCCUCCUAGUUGGUUUUCAUCAUGUGACUGGAUCACGUGUCUGGAUAGGGGAAUUGACGUCCUAGGUGCAACCUCAUGCCUUUUAACUCAUGUAGUCCUUUUCUUUUUCCUUCCUGUUCAGUGGAAUGUGCAUAUGGUGGAAGGAGCUAGAAAAGUCCUGUUAGGCAUGAGAUAUGAAUUACACAUUAGGGAUGGCAGAAGAUAGAAUAAGCCUGGGUUCCAAACACACACCAUUGGAUAUCACACCUGCAAUAUGCAUGCUGAGACUGUCAUGUGAGAAAUAAACAUCUCCAUCCUUUAGCAGUUAUAUUGGUCAUUAUUACGUCUAACAGAAAUCUCUGUGCAUGUCACCCUGCUUUGGUUUCCAGUGGUAAGGUAAGUUUUUCCUUAUUUUCUUCUUGUAUCAGUUGUUUUCGUGCAAUCUAAGAGGAGGAGACAUCACUACCUGCUCCCAUUCCUGAAAUGGCGUCAAAGACUGGCAGAACUCUGUAUGAAGACAAUAUUACUUGAUCUGUGAUUGGUUUCUCCCCUCCCUACCUGCUUCUUGCCAUACUGCUAUAGUACUGUCAAGAGGUCAUGCCUUUAUUCGUUGACGAAGCACUUGUUAUUUAGAACCUAGUACUAUAUAGCUUCGGUAAGCACUAAAGAUACUUCAGGAUUUUUCGAAGACCUAUCAUUUAAUAAGAGAGAAAGAGAUGUAAAAAAAUAAGCACACUAAAGCUUAUAGGGAAGAAUGUAUAGGGGGACAGUGAGAGUAUGGGGCAUGGAGGGCAGGGUGGCAGAUGAGUUUGACCCGACGGGGUCUCUGCCACUCUUAUUUAUGAGCUUUUAAAGAAUUCACUUCCCUUUAAUGUUUUGUGUCCACAAGACUCCCAGGCACAUAUGCUGAUUUUUUUCUCUCUUUGUUGUGAAGAAUGAGUGAGUGGUUAAAAGGUAAUUAGUUAAUGAGCUUGAGAUAAUUGUGAAUUAAGUUGUAAGCACUAGUAGUAAUAUUGAGAAGUGACUUUAGUUGUUCAACUCAAGAAAUACUUAAGUACUGACAUUACAGAAUUCCUUCCCUUGUAACUCCUGUAACAGUUUUCCUUGUUAUGAGUUUUGCUAUAAAUUAUAUGCUUAAGAUAGAGCAUAGACCUCUGAGUGCUAAGCAACGUGUCAGAUAAGCAAUAUAACAGUAAUCAUUUGUUGAGGGAAGAGAGAAAGAAAGUAGAAGGAAGAAAAGGGGGAAGGGAGGAAAGAAGGAAAGAAGGAAGGAUUGAUUGAAUGCAUUGUGGCAUAGCCUAUCUUGCUGACUAGAUUACAAGAAACCACGACUUCUAAUUCUUAUGCAUGGUGCUUAUUAAGUAUGUCUGAUGCAUUAUUUAAAUUGUUAAUAUUGUCAAAGAAAAAAUUAAAAAAAGGAAAACAUAAGUAGCUGUGUCAUUUCUGUUGGUUGUCAAGAAACCUAAGUUAAACGCCAAGCUUGGCAACUUACUAGCUCGGUGGUCCUUGGCAUGAUAAUUAACCUCUUUGGAUCUUAAGUUCCUCAUCUGUUGUUUGGGCAUUAUAUCCAUCCUGCAGUCUUUUUGUAUCAAUGAAAUGGGACAGCUGUGAAAUUACUUAGUAAAGAUGCAAGCAUAUAGUAAAUACAGAAUACAUGUUAAUGUCAUGUGCAUUUUAAUAAUACUAUACUUUAUUUUUUAUUUGCAACAGUUUAAAAAUGCAGAAAAGUUUAUAUUUUAAAUAAUAAAUAUCCAUUUUAAAUAUAUGCAGAAACUGUCUUAUAGGAAGUGGGCAUCAUUUUUUAUCUCUUUGAAAUUGUUUUUCCAUUACAAUUUACCCAUAUAUUAUCCCAAUGUAUUUUUAUUUUGAAAGACUUUUAUUGAUUCAUCAUCUGCCAUUACUGUAACAAAAAAUAUGUAGAAAAAAAUGGAAAUUAAAAUUUCUUAUGGCCAAAAACCUGUAAAUAUUUUGUAGUUUCUUCUGGAUGGAAUUCCCAAUUCAAAAAUUGACACAUGGGAAAAACAAUGUAAGUAUAUUAAAAUAUUGCUAAUAUAUAUUAAAUGUAAAAGGUGAAAUUUUAUUGGAAAUUCAUUUCUUGUUAAGAUGGGUCGGGCUGAAAUUUUAAGUUUUGAUUAAGAAGGCUUCUCUGACAUCCCUGAACUGUCCUUUUAUUAAGCAAACCAGAGGUUUCCCUUCUUUAGAGCAACUCACCAUAGUUACAUUAAGGGUGAGGGUCUUCUUAUUUUCAAGAAAUCAAGAAUAAGAGGUUGCGAAACCAGAAGUGAAGAAAGAGAUCCUACCAGUUAUUCUUCAGCUAGUUUAACACUAGGAAUUAUGACAUAUAUUGAGCAUAUGGAAACUGAUUCCCAGAAAAUGAACUUUGCAGAUUUAACCUCAAGGUGGAGGCAGUUGUGAAGAGGAAGCAAAGAUAAGUAAGACAAAUAGAAGUUAAAAUACAACACAUUGCCUUUGUAUAUUUUAAAAAUAUUCUUGUUCCUUUUUCUAAGUAGAAAAUAAACAUGCUAGUAGUAGAAAUUUCUACUGUAUAAUAAAU